AGACAGGUGCUGCAUGGCUGUCGUCAGCUCGUGUUGUGAAAUGUUGGGUUAAGUCCCGCAACGAGCGCAACCCUUAUCCUUUGUUGCCAGCGGUUCGGCCGGGAACUCAAAGGAGACUGCCAGUGAUAAACUGGAGGAAGGUGGGGAUGACGUCAAGUCAUCAUGGCCCUUACGACCAGGGCUACACACGUGCUACAAUGGCAUAUACAAAGAGAAGCGACCUCGCGAGAGCAAGCGGACCUCAUAAAGUAUGUCGUAGUCCGGAUUGGAGUCUGCAACUCGACUCCAUGAAGUCGGAAUCGCUAGUAAUCGUAGAUCAGAAUGCUACGGUGAAUACGUUCCCGGGCCUUGUACACACCGCCCGUCACACCAUGGGAGUGGGUUGCAAAAGAAGUAGGUAGCUUAACCUUCGGGAGGGCGCUUACCACUUUGUGAUUCAUGACUGGGGUGAAGUCGUAACAAGGUAACCGUAGGGGAACCUGCGGUUGGAUCACCUCCUU
rnacentral:rRNA from 2 species